rnacentral:sRNA from 1 species
UGCAUGUCAAAGAUAUGGGUCUAUAGC